UACAGAGGUCUCAAGCGUUGUUCGGAUUCAUUGGGCGUAAAGGGUGCGUAGGUGGCGCCGUAAGUCAGGUGUGAAAUUUCGGAGCUUAACUCCGAAACUGCAUUUGAUACUGCGGUGCUUGAGGACUGGAGAGGAGACUGGAAUUCACGGUGUAGCAGUGAAAUGCGUAGAUAUCGUGAGGAAGACCAGUGGCGAAGGCGGGUCUCUGGACAGUUCCUGACACUGAGGCAGCGAAGGCCAGGGGAGCAAAACGGGG
rnacentral:rRNA from 1 species